rnacentral:rRNA from 1 species
CCUACGGGAGGCAGCAGUGGGGAAUAUUGCACAAUGGGGGAAACCCUGAUGCAGCGACGCCGCGUGAGUGAAGAAGUAUCUCGGUACGUAAAGCUCUAUCAGCAGGGAAGAAAAUGACGGUACCUGACUAAGAAGCCCCGGCUAACUCCGUGCCAGCAGCCGCGGUAAUACGUAGGGGGCAAGCGUUAUCCGGAUUUACUGGGUGUAAAGGGAGCGUAGACGGGAGCACAAGUCUGGAGUGAAAUCCCGGGGCUUAACCCCAGAACUGCAUUGGAUACUGUGCGGCUGGAGUGCAGGAGGGGUAGGCGGAAUUCCUGGUGUAGAGGUGAAAUGCGUAGAUAUUAGGAAGAACACCGGUGGCGAAGGCAGCUUACUAGACUGUAACUGACGUUGAGGCUCGAAAGCGUGGGGAGCAAACAGGAUUAGAUACCCGAGUAGUC